GGAUUAGAUACCCUGGUAGUCCACGCAGUAAACGAUGAUAACUAAAUGUCUGGAAUUUAUUCUGGGCGUUAAAGCUAACGCGUUAAGUUAUCCGCCUGGGGAGUACGGUCGCAAGACUAAAACUCAAAGGAAUUGACGGGGACCCGCACAAGCGGUGGAACAUGUGGUUUAAUUCGAUAAUCCGCGAAAAACCUUACCAGUCCUUGACAUCCCAAUCGUUGUUUUCAGAGAUGAAUUCAUCAGUUCGGCUGGAUUGGAGACAGGUGAUGCAUGGCUGUCGUCAGCUCGUGCCG
rnacentral:rRNA from 1 species